rnacentral:rRNA from 1 species
AUUGAACGCUGGCGGCAGGCCUAACACAUGCAAGUCGAGCGGAUGACGGGAGCUUGCUCCUGGAUUCAGCGGCGGACGGGUGAGUAAUGCCUAGGAAUCUGCCUGGUAGUGGGUGAUAACGUCCGGAAACGGGCGCUAAUACCGCAUACGUCCUGAGGUGUAUAGUGGGGGAUCUUCGGACCUCACGCUAUCAUAUGAGCCUAGGUGGGAUUAGCUAGUUGGUGGGGUAAAGGCCUACCAAGGCGACGAUCCGUAACUGGUCUGAGAGGAUGAUCAGUCACACUGGAACUGAGACACGGUCCAGACUCCUACGGGAGGCAGCAGUGGGGAAUAUUGGACAAUGGGCGAAAGCCUGAUCCAGCCAUGCCGCGUGUGUGAAGAAGGUCUUCGGAUUGUAAAGCACUUUAAGUUGGGAGGAAGGGCAGUAAGUUAAUACCUUGCUGUUUUGACGUUACCAACAGAAUAAGCACCGGCUAACUUCGUG